rnacentral:rRNA from 1 species
CAUGCAGUCGACGGUGAAGAGGAGCUUGCUCCUUGGAUCAGUGGCGAACGGGUGAGUAACACGUGAGCAAUCUGCCCUUGACUCUGGGAUAACUGCGGGAAACUGUAGCUAAUACCGGAUAUUACCUUGGAAGGCAUCUUCUGGGGUGGAAAGAAUUUUGGUCAAGGAUGAGCUCGCGGCCUAUCAGCUAGUUGGUGAGGUAAUGGCUCACCAAGGCGACGACGGGUAGCCGGCCUGAGAGGGUGACCGGCCACACUGGGACUGAGACACGGCCCAGACUCCUACGGGAGGCAGCAGUGGGGAAUAUUGCACAAUGGGCGCAAGCCUGAUGCAGCAACGCCGCGUGAGGGACGACGGCCCUCGGGUUGUAAACCUCUUUUAGUAGGGAAGAAGCGACUGGGUUUUCCUGGGAGUGACGGUACCUGCAGAAAAAGCACCGGCUAACUACGUGCCAGCAGCCGCGGUAAUACGUAGGGUGCAAGCGUUGUCCGGAAUUAUUGGGCGUAAAGAGCUCGUAGGCGGUUUGUCGCGUCUGCUGUGAAAACCCGAGGCUCAACCUCGGGCCUGCAGUGGGUACGGGCAGACUAGAGUGCGGUAGGGGAGAUUGGAAUUCCUGGUGUAGCGGUGGAAUGCGCAGAUAUCAGGAGGAACACCAAUGGCGAAGGCAGAUCUCUGGGCCGUAACUGACGCUGAGGAGCGAAAGCAUGGG